ACGCUCGACACCUACAGGAGGCAGCAGUGGGGAAUAUUGCACAAUGGGGGAAACCCUGAUGCAGCGACGCCGCGUGAGCGAAGAAGUAUUUCGGUAUGUAAAGCUCUAUCAGCAGGGAAGAAACUGACGGUACCUGACUAAGAAGCACCGGCUAAAUACGUGCCAGCAGCCGCGGUAAUCUGAGGCGGGCUGGCAAGGC
rnacentral:rRNA from 1 species